CAUAUAUUUUAUUUCAUCAGGAGAUGAAAACACUGUUGACUCACAGGAUUUUUCUGGAGACCAGUUCAGCACAUUGACAGCACAUUCUGAUGAGGCUAUGGUCACACAGUGGGUGUGAGAUGGAGCUGUCCCUCAGGGGCCAAGCUGUACAGACAGAGAAUACAAAACAGGAGUGGUGUUCAAGGAAAUGCUGAGAUAAAAGGCCCGCUGGAGAAGAAACAAGUGGAAUGGGGUUUGGUUGGCCAUGAAUCAGUCCAUUAUACACCUGGGGAGUUGUCUGCAAAAGACGUCUAGCUAAAAGGUGCAAUUAAAAAUCCCUAUAUAAGCACUGGGAUCCCUAAACCCAGUAUCACAAGCUCUCAGCUUGAGUCCUCCAUUUCUCUUGGCAACUCAGGUACACUCCAGUUGGCUAAACAAGAUGACUCGCCGUCUUCUGAGAAGCAUCAUCAGUAUCAUUGAUGCUUUCCUCUCUAAUGCAAAGAGUGAUGGAGACUAUCAGAGGCUGAAUGAGACAGAACUUAAGAAACUUCUCCAAGAAGAGUUUGGAAAUGCUCUGGAGGAAUCAAAUAAUUCUGAGACAACAGAAAAAAUCCUCCAGCAGCUGGAUCAAGAUGGUGACCAAACAAAUGAUUUCAGUGAAUUAAUCUUGCUCAUAUCUGCAGUGACAACAGCCUACUACACACACAUAAAACCUCUUCUCUACCCCAAAAUAAAAGAAAGGGAGAGAAGAUGUGUAAUUCAAGAAAAACAAGUAACAGAACUAGAAGGCAAGCAGCUGCAAAAAGAAAAAUUCCAAGAGAGAGAUCAAGGCGAAGAGUCCCCCAAUUUGCAGAGACAUAAACUGAGAGACCAGAGACCAACGCCCAGUGAUGAAAAGAGUCAUGGAGUGAGAGACCAAACUCUGACACCAAGGGAUGAGACAAGACUCCAAGUAAGAGAUAUGAGAUCCAAACUUGGAAACGAUGAGAGAAGCCAAGACAGGGAGCAGAGACCAGCUCCAAGACAGGAUGAAAGGAUCCAACAUCGAGACCAGAUCCCCUUAUCAAGGGAUGAUGAGAGACUCCAAGUAAGAGACAUGAGACCUGAACUUGGAAAUGAUGAGAGAAGCCAAGACAGGGAGCAGAGACCAGCUCCAAGACAGGAUGAAAGGAUCAAACAUAGAGUCCAGAUCCACUUAUCAAGGGAUGAUGAGGGAAACCAAGUGAGAGGCCUGAGUCCUGAACCUCAGAAUGAUGAGAGACAUCAUUUUGGGGAGCAAAAUCCAGAACACAGGAGUGAUGAGAGAAGGCAAAUUAGGGACCAGAGACGAACUGCAACAGAAGAUGAGAGACUUAGAGUGAGAGACCAAAGUCUAACACCAACGGAUGAGAGGAGACUCCAAGUAAGAGAUGUGAGACCUGAACUUGGAAACGAUGAGAGAAGCCAAGACAGGGAGCAGAGACCAGCUCCAAGACAGGAUGAAAGGAUCCAACAUAGAGACCGGAUCCCCUUAUCAAGGGAUGAUGAGAGAAACCAAGUGAGAGACCUGAGUCCUGAAACCCAGAAUGAUGAGAGACACCCCCUUAGGGAGCAAAGACUGGAACCCAGGGGCGAUGAGAGAGAACAAAUUAGGGACCAGAGGCCAACUACAACAGAAGAUGAGAGACUUGGAGUGAGAGACCAAACCCUAACACCAAGGGAUGAGAGGAGACUCCAAGUAAGAGACGUGAGACCAGAAAUUGGCAAUGAUAACAGAAGCCAAGACAGGGAACAAAGACUAGCUCCAAGACAGGAUGAAAGGAUCCAACAUAGAGACCAGAUCCCCCUUUCAAGGGAUGAUGAGGGAAACCAAGUGAGGGACCUGAGUCCUGAACCCCAGAAUGAUGAAAGACACCACCUUAGGGAGCAAAGAUUGACCUCAUCAGAAGCUGAGAGACUGGGAUUCAGAGACCAAGCUGCAGCACCAAGAGAUGACAGGAGAUACCAAGUGAGGGAUGUGAGACCAGAAUCUGGGAAUGAUGGAAGAAACCAAGAUAGAGAGCAGAAUCCAGAUGCAAUAUUGUAUGAAAGAUGGCAACAAAGAGACGACAAUAUCCCCUCUUCAAUGGAUGAUAGAAGACACCAAGAGAGAGACCUGAGCCCAGAACCCAAUAAUGAUGGAAGACAGGAAUUAAGACCAGAACCCACGAAUGGUGUGAGAGAAGAGGUUAGAGAGCAAAGGCCACCUUCAGGAAGGGAUGAGAGUCAUCUCAGAGGCAACAAUGAGAGCAGCUCUGGAAGAAGGCUAUCUGUUAGGGAAUCCAACUAUGAGACAAAAGAGAAGUUAGGGAGAGUACAAGAUCUAAAGCCUUUCCCCAAGCAGGAAAAAGCUGAUCUUGAAGGUCUAGAUCCUCAGGAGUCUGCAUUCACCAGAAAAAUUGGGCCGAUUACCUGUGAGGUAUACUUUUUUUCCAAACAGAACGGUAACUGGUUAUGUUACUGUUUGCAUGAUCCAUCAGGAAUUGGAAAUGCAGGAAAUAAGGAAAUCACUUAUCCAGAUUUGGGGAUGUUUAAGGAUCACAAGAGUGGAGGAAGCUAUGUCAACUCCCCAAUCUGGGAUCCAGAAGAACAGCUGCACCAAAACAAGGAAGAAAGACAGAAAGAUGGUGAUGAUGACCAGCAGAACAAAUCUGGCAACCACAAGUCUGAGAAGAGCUCUGAGGUCUCAAAUGAGUCUAGCUCCUCUGAAGAUUCGUCUUGAAGUCACUUCCAGAUGUUCCAAGAAAUUCUCUCUUUCCAGUUGAUUGAGCUAGUUGAUUUAGGAUUCUUGGCUUUUUCUUUUUCCACGUAUCUCAGACAUCUAGCUAUAAUGUGUAAUGGGUGGAAUUGCUCAACUUUUGGUUUCUGGGACUCUAACAUCUUUAAGGAAUUGCUUAUAGUGGAAAGAAGAAUCAAAUGUUUUAUAAUAUCCUCCAAUAACUCUAUGAUUUUAACUUUAAUGAAUAACUCUCAAAGCUAAUCUGAAGGGACUGCCUAUUCAAAUUAUAAACCUUGUAAAAAUUAACAAUAAAUAAUUAGCAAGCAUUCAUUUCUCCUUGAGUUUCUUCUAUGUUUUUGGAAAUUCGUCACUCUGAUGUUGAAACUGAGAUCAAGUAUGAUAGUCACAGCCUCUAGAACAGGAUUUAUUUUUCACUCAGAAAAUAUGUGUUCUUUCUUCAAUUCAUUCAGUAAUAUACAUUAUAAUAUUCAUACUCACCUACUAGAGACCCCAAAAAAGCCAAAACAAGUCCUUCUAUGAAAGAAACCUCUAAAACAAACUAAACACUCUAAACACUCAGUCUAAAUGUUAAAGGAGGAACAAAAUAGAUUGUGUAAAUGAGAGUAAAUGAAGCACAGGUCACAGUAUUAAAGUCAGAUCAAUACAAUUUAACAUGAAAAACAAUAUACAGGGGCUUCCUGGGUGGCUCAGUGGUAAAGAAUCCACCUACCAAUGCAGGAGCCACGAGUUCAGUCCCUAGGCCAGGAAGAUACAACAUGCCAUGGAGCAACUAAGCCCAUGUGCCACAACUACUGAAGCCUGCACGCCUUGGGCCUGUGCUCCACAACAAGAGAAGACACCGCAAUGAGAAGCCCAGCACACCACAGCUACAUAAUAGUCCCCACUCACUGCAGCUGGAGAAAAACCCAUGCAGCAGCAAAGACCCAGCACGGCCAAAAACAAACAAAUUAAUUAAUUAAUUAAAGUAUUUUUAAAAGUGAUAGGCGAGUCCAUUUUUAGAUAUCAAUUAGGUCUAGCUGGUCCAUUGUGUCAUUUAAGGUUUGUGUUUCCUUGUUAAUUUUCUGUUUAGUUGAUCUAUCCAUAGUUGUGAGUGGGGUAUUAAAGUCUCCCACUAUUAUUGUGUUACUAUUAAUUUCCUCUUUCAUACUCGUUAGUGUUUGCCGUACAUAUUGCGGUGCUCCUAUGUUGGGUGCAUAUAUAUUUAUAAUUGUUAUAUCUUCUUCUUUGAUUGAUCCUUUGAUCAUUAUGUAGUGUCCUUCUUUGUCUCUUUUCACAUCCUUUAUUUGAAAGUCUAUUUUAUCUGAUAUGAGUAUUGCGACUCCUGCUUUCUUUUGGUCUCCGUUUGCAUGAAAUAUUUUUUUCCAGCCCUUCACUUUUAGUCUGUGUCUCUUGUUUUGAGGUGGGUCUCUUGUAGACAGCAUAUAUAGGGGUCUUGUUUUUGUAUCCAUUCAGCCAAUCUUUGUCUUUUGGUUGGGGCAUUCAACCCAUUUACAUUUAGGGUAAUUAUUGAUAGGUGUGGUCCCGUUGCCAUUUACUUUGUUGUUUUGGGUUCACGUUUAUACAACCUUUCUGUAUGUCCUGUCUAGAGAAGAUCCUUUAGCAUUUGUUGAAGAGCUGGUUUGGUGGUGCUG
ensembl:lncRNA